AUUUAAAGAUCCUUCUGGUGUUGUUGUUACAACCCAGGCUGAAAAUGUAAAGAUUCUUCUUUUGUGGGUCACAGAUAUCUGAUGUGGUUGAUUAGGAAGUCUGCAAGCUAGAUGAAAAGUUCAAGGAAGGGAGUCAUGUUCGAGUUCGUGUUCUUGGCUUUAGGCAUCUAUAAGGAUUGACAAUGGAUGUUUUAAAGGUGACACUGGCACACUUCCUUUUCUCUGCCAUUAUUAUAUUAUGUCAAGCUCACCAAAGAUCGACAGAAGAAACCAAUCCCUUGGAAACAAUGGCAAUCAUUGGCAACAAGGAGAUCAUUGACAUUAACCAAGGUAUGUCACCUUUUCUUUUCUUUU